GACGAACGCUGGCGGCGUGCCUAAUACAUGCAAGUAGAACGCACAGUUUAUACCGUAGCUUGCUACACCAUAAACUGUGAGUUGCGAACGGGUGAGUAACGCGUAGGUAACCUGCCUGGUAGCGGGGGAUAACUAUUGGAAACGAUAGCUAAUACCGCAUAAUAUUGAUUAUUGCAUGAUAAUUGAUGGAAAGAUGCUAUUGCAUCACUACCAGAUGGACCUGCGUUGUAUUAGCUAGUAGGUGAGGUAACGGCCCACCUAGGCGACGAUACAUAGCCGACCUGGGAGGGUGGUCGGCCCAACUGGGACUGAGACACGGCCCCGACUCCUACGGGAGGCAGCCGUAGGGAAUCUUCGGCAAUGGACGAAAGUCUGACCGAGCCACGCCGCGUGAGUGAAGGAGGUUUUCGGAUCGUAAAGCUCUGUUGUAAGGGAAGAACGGGUGUGAGAGUGGAAAGUUCACACUGUGACGGUAUCUUACCAGAAAGGGACGGCUAACUACGUG
rnacentral:rRNA from 1 species